rnacentral:sRNA from 16 species
ACCCUUCCGGUUGCAGCCUGAGAAAUUAGGCUGAUGGCUGGUGACUUUUUAGUCACCAGCCU